ACAGCAGUUCUGCCCUUCGGGUUCCUCUGCCCAGCCUAGGACGGAGUUCCCUGGAUGGAAAGUGCUGUUGUGGCAGUAGCCUAAAGAGAGGUGCCAGCGCCAGAUGGCAGAAUGCAUUGAUCCAGGCCUUGUGAUAUUGAAAGUAGCUGACGUGACUCCAUGGCUCACGGGACCUUCCCAAAAUUUCCACUUCUAGCAGUUGAGCUGAGGUCUUGAUCGUUAUUUCCCUCUUCCAGGCUGUGAGGGGGUUUCAUAUCCCCAUUCUAUUGUCGGCUGUGGGAUGUCUUUGAGAAUUCCUUUCUGCAGAGGGCAAGAACCUUCUUUAGCUUGAAAUAAGCCUUUUCAGUUCCUCCUGGCCUGGCAUUUUAACUGGUCUUGAUUUAUUUUUUUCGUCUGAUGCUCUACAAACCCAGAGUAUGGGUAGAGGUUCACAAGCAAUUGGAUUGCAAUGGCUUUCGAAGUUACGGGCUACAUGGUAACUGUGCUUCCAAUCUGUUGUCUCUGCAAGGACUCUUUUCUCCUGAAGUGAAAUCUUACUCUGAAAUUGUAUUCAAAUCACAGUAACAGAAAAACCUAUCUGGAAAGUUAAGGAACGGACUUGCAUACAAUGAAGGCUUUGGUAUGAAUGCAGUCCUUGAAUCUGGCUAAACCUGUACUUAUGUGAAUAAUUGGGCAGGUUUAAAAAGUAGGACGUACAUGAUUGUUUUAAGGUGCUCAAGGGGAAA